rnacentral:rRNA from 1 species
GAAUCUUGGACAAUGGGGGCAACCCUGAUCCAGCCAUGCCGCGUGAGCGAUGAAGGCCUUAGGGUUGUAAAGCUCUUUCAGCGGGGAAGAUAAUGACGGUACCCGCAGAAGAAGCCCCGGCUAACUCCGUGCCAGCAGCCGCGGUAAUACGGAGGGGGCUAGCGUUGUUCGGAAUUACUGGGCGUAAAGCGCACGUAGGCGGAUGCUUAAGUCAGGGGUGAAAUCCCGGGGCUCAACCCCGGAACUGCCUUUGAUACUGGGUGUCUGGAGGUCGAGAGAGGUGAGUGGAAUUCCGAGUGUAGAGGUGAAAUUCGUAGAUAUUCGGAGGAACACCAGUGGCGAAGGCGGCUCACUGGCUCGAUACUGACGCUGAGGUGCGAAAGCGUGGGGAGCAAACAG